rnacentral:rRNA from 1 species
GACGAACGCUGGCGGCGUGCUUAACACAUGCAAGUCGAACGGAAAGGCCCUGCUUUUGUGGGGUGCUCGAGUGGCGAACGGGUGAGUAACACGUGAGUAACCUGCCCUUGACUUUGGGAUAACUUCAGGAAACUGGGGCUCAUACCGGAUAGGAGCUCCUGCUGCAUGGUGGGGGAUGGAAAGUUUCGGCGGUUGGGGAUGGACUCGCGGCUUAUCAGCUUGUUGGUGGGGUAGUGGCUUACCAAGGCUUUGACGGGAAGCCGGCCUGAGAGGGGUGACGGCCACAUUGGGACUGAGAGACGGCCCAGACUCCUACGGGAGGCAGCAGGGGGGAAUAUUGCAGAAUGGGCGGAAGCCUGAUGCAGCAACGCCGCGUGCGGGAUGACGGCCUUCGGGUUGUAAACCGCUUUCGCCUGUGACGAAGCGUGAGUGACGGUAAUGGGUAAAGAAGCACCGGCUAACUACGUG